GCUUCAGUAGUUGAAUAACAACAGUGGUUUUUCGAGUCGCAAGUUUUGGUUAAGGCCAGAUUGGAGUA
rnacentral:tRNA from 1 species